rnacentral:rRNA from 1 species
UUUGUGGAGAGUUUGAUUCUGGCUCAGGACGAACGCUGGCGGCGUGCCUAAUACAUGCAAGUCGAACGAGAAAGCUCCUUCGGGAGCAAGUACAGUGGCGCACGGGUGAGUAACGCGUGGAUAAUCUGUCCUCAGGUGGGGAAUAUCCAGUCGAAAGAUUGGUUAAUACCGCAUAAUAUCCCUUUAUCUCAGGAUAAAGGGAUCAAAGAUUUAUCGCCUAAGGAGGAGUCCGCGUCCGAUUAGCCUGUUGGUGAGGUAAUGGUUCACCAAAGCUAUGAUCGGUAGCUGGUCUGAGAGGAUGAUCAGCCACACUGGGACUGAGACACGGCCCAGAC